AUCUACACAGCUCAGUUAAUUAAAAUGAAUGAAACAGAGUUUUGUUGCUUCUGCAGUACCGCAUAUUGGUCAGUAGGUGGAGUAAAGUAUGCACAUGCGCAGUUGGAAAACACCACAAGAAGGAACGAAGCACAACGGUCACUCGUCAGCUAGUUUAAAUCGGCGCCGUUUUAUGAGAAUCAGACGGAGAAUUACACUGCAAAACAACAACGCGUUUUCCUCUAUGUAAACAGACAGCAGUUUAUCAAGGGGCUGAUGGACAGCACGUUUGCUCUACGGAGGCACGAGGUAGUAGAAGAUUCACCUUUCAUUGCAGAAUUCAAGAACAGAUGGCCAGCACUCUUUUACUGAGCGAGAGGUAUCUGCGGAAUUCAGCAGGAUUACAACAAUUCCUUUGGUGUCCAAAUUCAUGGGUCAGCUUGAUCAUUUCUCCCCCCAGCUACUCAAAAGUUUCAAAAAGAAAGGAGGAGCAGCCGCACAGAAGAUCACAGACAUCCUGUCAGUUUUGGAUCAGAGCAUCAUCAUUGAAAAAAAGCGUGAAUGCAUCCUGAAAGCCUUAGUGGUCUACCUAAAUGAAGAUCCUUCAAACCUAGUGAAGGAGUACAUGGACGCUGAACAUGAUGAAACCCAAAUUUUGAUGAGCAACACCACUCUCGGAAUCUAUGCCAUCAAACAUGAAGGGGCAGAUGUUGCAGACCCAUACGAUGGUGUCAUCAUCGAAGGCAUCCAAGUACUUGAAAUCUUGGACAAUGUAGCUAAUGCAUGUUCCAUGAUGGUUGGUGUAAUUUAUGCAUUAAACUUGGCUUACCCCCAGGAUCUGAGAUAUACUUUUGAAUUGUUUCAAAAGAUUUUUAUGCAACUCGAUACCAACAAUCUGCCAAACAAAGUCCAGAUUUAAAAAAAUAAACUCCUUUCGUAGGCACUGUAACUUGAAACAAGGGCUAAGAGGCAGGACCUGUGUUUUGUCCAUAAUGUUGCACUGGCUGUUGCAGUACUUUUUUUUCAGUGCUAACCAGGUGAUGUCUUUAAUAAUCUUUACUUCAUCUUUACUUUUGCUUUACUGCAAUGUUGUUUACUGCUUUUUUUUAAAGUUUACUAAAGUAUAAAGUAUAUUUUUGUAAAUCAUUUAAUUAAUAGACUAUUAUUUUAUUUUACUUUUUACUGGUAAUAUUAUUUUUGUAACUUCUUGUAAUAAGUAAAGAAGUUUUAUUUUGAAAAUUGAAGACAUUACUUAGAU